GGCGGCAUAGCCAAGUGGCAAGGCAGUUCUCUGCAAAAGAACUAUACGGGAGUUCGAUUCUCCCUGCCGCCU
rnacentral:tRNA from 1 species